CCAAUAACAAGCAUUCACGGAAGGAAAACAGUCCUCUCGCUACUCGAGACAGAAAUAGUAGUAGAAACUGGGGGGAAGGGUUGGAGCGCUGGUUCUCUUACCAGGUCCCUGCAAGAUCGCCUUUUUCGAAUUUUCCCCUUCGGUUCGCCAAGUUUGAUGGAUUCUCUUCUUCUCCGGCCCUUCUCUCUUCCUCCCCGGCUAUGUUGUUUCUCGUCUCGGAGAGGUUGUUGUGUACCAACCCAAUAUUCAAUCAACCAAGCAUGUGUGACCACAUUGAGAUGCAGAGUUGGAAGAUCUCAAGGAUGUCUUGCAAACCAUCUUCUCAGACAGACUCAUGGAAAAUCUACUUAUCAUGGGAGACUGCAUGAGUGUAGUCACAUUAAUGCGACAUCAGGGGACUCAAUAGAAUCUGAGCCGCCCAAGGCAUAUGAUUCUACAAGCGCAUGGAAGUCAAUACUAAGUUCACUCAACGCCUUCUACCGAUUUUCACGGCCCCACACAAUUAUAGGAACAGCAAUAAGCAUAGUCUCGGUUUCUCUAUUGGCUAUUGAGGGCCUAUCUGAUAUUUCUCCAUUGUUUGUUACUGGAUUGUUGGAGGCAGUUGUGGCUGCACUUUUCAUGAAUGUGUACAUUGUUGGGCUAAAUCAGCUAUUUGACAUAGAAAUAGACAAGGUUAAUAAGCCAGGUCUUCCACUAGCAUCUGGGGAAUAUUCUGUCACAACUGGCAUUGCAAUUGUUUCAGCUUUUGCUCUUAUGAGCUUUGGUGUUGGAUGGGUGGUAGGCUCAUGGCCAUUAUUUUGGGCUCUUUUCAUCAGUUUUAUCCUUGGAACUGCAUACUCCAUCAAUAUACCUUUUUUGAGAUGGAAGAGAUUUGCAGUCGUUGCUGCACUCUGCAUCCUGGCUGUGCGUGCUGUGAUUGUUCAACUGGCAUUUUUCCUGCAUAUGCAGACUUUCGUGUUCAGAAGACCAGCCAACUUUUCAAGGCCACUGAUAUUUGCAACUGCAUUCAUGAGCUUCUUCUCUGUUGUUAUAGCAUUGUUCAAGGAUAUACCUGAUAUUGAUGGAGACCGGAUAUUUGGCAUUCAGUCCUUCAGUGUACGUCUGGGUCAAAGGCGGGUAUUUUGGAUUUGUGUAUCUCUUCUUGAGAUGGCUUACAGUGUUGCCAUGGUGAUUGGAGCCACUUCUUCCUGCAUUUGGAGCAAACUUGUUACCGUUUUGGGCCAUGCAGUCCUUGCUUCGGUCCUCUGGAAUCGUGCUAGAUCUCUUGACUUGAUGAGUAAAGCUGCAAUAACAUCUUUUUACAUGUUUGUUUGGAAGCUCUUUUAUGCUGAGUACUUGCUCAUUCCACUAGUGAGGUGAAAAUGAAAGAAUAAAGUGGAUACAUAUAAGCAGGAUCAGCUUUUUAUGAAUCGAAGGCUCUCAGUUGCCCAGGCAUCUCCCAUGUUCUAUACGACUAUGGCGUGUGUGGAAAGUAUGGUGUAACACUGGCCCAUCUGUGUGUGGACUUCAGUUUAAGAGGUUGAAGCACAAAUGAUGUUUGCUUGUUCCACUGGAAUAAUAGUAAAAUGUUCUGAGGCAAGCUGUUUCUGGUGCAGGUCUUAUCUAUCUAUUUUACAUGUUUUGACUUGUGAUGAUGCUCUUCUCAAUAGUGUAUGUUUGGCAAUGGCAUGGGACCAGCUAUUGCAUUUAUUUCUAAGUUAUGAUUCUCGUUUGAAGAACGAAUGUUCUUUCUUUUUCUUCUUCAUAUUGAGAAUCUCCAGCACUAAUUUACUGCAAUUUCAGCA